ensembl:miRNA
GGUCAGAAGUUUGGACAUAGUGUGGCUGGGUCCUCUGUGCAGGGUCUUACCCAGCCACACUACAUCCAAACUUCUGACC